rnacentral:tRNA from 1 species
GCCUGGGUAGCUCAGUGGUUGAGCAUCUGCCUUUGGCUCAGGUUGUGAUCCCAGGGUCUUGGGAUCAAGUCCCCCAUCAGGCU